UGGGGAAUAUUGGGCAAUGGGCGCAAGCCUGACCCAGCAACGCCGCGUGAAGGAAGAAGGCUUUCGGGUUGUAAACUUCUUUUGUCAGGGACGAAAAAAAUGACGGUACCUGACGAAUAAGCCACGGCUAACUACGUGCCAGCAGCCGCGGUAAUACGUAGGUGGCAAGCGUUAUCCGGAUUUACUGGGUGUAAAGGGCGUGUAGGCGGGAAAGCAAGUCAGAUGUGAAAACUAUGGGCUCAACCCAUAGCCUGCAUUUGAAACUGUUUUUCUUGAGUGUCGGAGAGGUAAUCGGAAUUCCGUGUGUAGCGGUGAAAUGCGUAGAUAUACGGAGGAACACCAGUGGCGAAGGCGGAUUACUGGACGAUAACUGACGCUGAGGCGCGAAAGCGUGGGGAGCAAACA
rnacentral:rRNA from 1 species